rnacentral:piRNA from 1 species
UCACUUCCCAGACAGUGCGGCAGCCAGGUA